UUACUUUAUUCAGAAUGUAGCAAUGGAAUUAUCUGAGAGAUUCCAUAAUUUAUAUUAAAUUGAUAAAUGAGAUGAAAGAUAAACAGAUCAUGAACACAGAAACAGCAUAUCAUAUAAAAAUCUUAACAAAUUAAGAAUAUGGCUGAUAAAUGGCUUCACAUUGACAAAAUAACAGAUAAUAUCAGAUGUAUUUAACUACAUGCAAGACGUUCUUGUAUGACAAUAUGUAUAUAAAAUGAAUUUGAAAUCCUCUGCAAGAAAUGAAGGUCAACAAAUCACGCCAUGUAUAAUGACAUUCAAUGAUUGAGGUUAACAUGACACUCCAUGUAUAACGACAUUCAAUGAUCGAGGUUAACAUGACACUCCAUGUAUAACGAAAUUCAAUGAUUGAGGUUAACAUGACACUCCACGUAUAACGACAUUCAAUGACUGAGAUUAACAUGACACUCCAUGUAUAACGACAUUCAAUGAUUGAGGUUAACAUGACACUCCAUGUAAAACGACAUUCAAUGACUGAGGUUAACAUUCAAUGAUUGAGGUUAACAUGACACUCCACGUAUAACGACAUUCAAUGACUGAGAUUAACAUGACACUCCAUGUAUAACAACAUUCUAUGACUGAAGUUAACAUAACACUCCAAGUAUAACGACAUUCAAUGACUGAGGUUAACGUGACACUCCAUGUAUAAUAACAUUCAAUGAUUGAGGUUAACAUGACACUCCAUGUAUAACGACAUUCAAUGAUUGAGGUUAAAAUGAAACUCCAUGUAUAACGACAUUCAAUGACUGAGAUGAACAUGACACUCCAUGUAUAACGACAUUCAAUGACUGAGGUUAACAUGACACUCCACGUAUAACGACAUUCAAUGACUGAGGUUAACAUGACACUCUAUGUAUAACGACAUUCAAUGACUGAGGUUAACAUGACACUCCAUGUAUAACAACAUUCAACGACUGAGGUUAACAUGACACUCCACGUAUAAUGACAUUCAAUGACUGAGGUUAACAUGACACUCCAUGUAUAACGACAUUUUUUGACUGAGGUUAACAUGACACUCCACGUAUAACAACAUUCAAUGACUGAGGUUAACAUGAGACUCCACGUAUAACGACAUUUUUUGACUGAGGUUAACAUGACACUCCAUGUAUAACGACAUUCAAUGACUGAGGUUAACAUGACACUCCCAGUAUAAUGACAUUCAAUGACUGAGGUUAACAUGACACUCCAUGUAUAACGACAUUCAACGACUGAGGUUAACAUGACACUCCAUGUAUAACGACAUUUUUUGACUGAGGCUAACAUGACACUCCACGUAUAACAACAUUCAAUGACUGAGGUUAACAUGACACUCCACGUAUAACGACAUUUUUUGACUGAGGUUAACACAAAAUUUCAUUUAUGACAUUUUAUGACCAAGGUUUACACAACUUGCCUUGAAUGACAUUCAAUAACAGAUUAACAAAGCAUACAAAACUUCUUUAAAUAAUGGUAACAGUGAAUUAUCAAUAACCAUUUCUUUGAAUUGGGGACAAAUGCAGGUUUAUAUUGCAUAAAAGAUAUCUACAUUAUUAUUUACAAUGACACAUGUAUCCCAUUCAUCUAACAAUGUCAUCAACUUUCAGUUUCACCGUUUACUAUUUAUGUACCUACAUUUUGUUAGUGUUUGGAAGAUUAAGGUUUUGAUUCCUACUACUACCAUGGUACACGAAAUUAAAACAUUUAAGCAAUAAAAUGUAAAAUCCUAAUUUGUCCUCCACUGGAUGAUGUCAGGUUUUAAUGAUUGGAAUGGGAGAAAAAUAUUUAUGUCAUGCCCAGGGAUGUAGGAUAGGGAAAUUCCACCCUCUGGAUUUUCAAAUUGGUGCAAAACCCUCAGCAGAGCCUUGGGUUUUACCCCUCAACAGAGCCAUGGGUUUUACCCCUCAGCAGAGCCUUGGGUUUUACCCAAUUUGAACAUUCAGAGGAUGGAAUUUCUGUUUCUUACACACCUGGACAUUAAAGAGUCUUAUAUAUUGAAAGAGAAGUUGAUCAUGAGAGAGUAUUGAAAAGAUAUAUGGGGGGUUGCUUCAGAUCAAUGUUGGUAGCUUGUAAAUGUGUGUACUGAUAGAUGAAAACAUCAACAAUUUUGUAAGGGGCCCUGCACUAGUUGCCUCAUACAAUCAUGUAGUGGGAUACAGAAUAUCUGUUCUGUUUAAUUAGUGAAGCUACAGGAGAAAGUCCAUGUAAACUUUAUACAUUAACUGUGUACAAUGGCUUGAUGUAUUUUUUAUAAUAUACCGGUCAUUAUAAAAAAUUCUCUGGCAAAUGGAAUAUAAUAAUAAGCAGGUUCCACUGUAUACAUCUAUAUAUAUAUACAUGAAAUAUACAUACAUAUGUAUAUAUUUGGACAUACUCUCAUAAUGACCUUUUUCACAAUUAGCCUUAAUAACUCAAGAAAAUUUAUCUCUGUAAAAUUACAAACAUAAUACGGAAAAAUAAACUGUACAGAAAAAGAUGUCAAAGGAUAAAAUAAAGUAUUGCACACACCCUUUUACUUUACAUAUAAAAUGAAACAUUUU